AAUGAACGCUGGCGGCGCGCCUAAUACAUGCAAGUCGAGCGAGAAGACGUAGCAAUACGUUUGUAAAGCGGCGAACGGGUGAGGAAUACAUGGGUAACCUACCCUCGAGUGGGGAAUAACUAGCCGAAAGGUUAGCUAAUACCGCGUACGCUCCUUGGACUUCGGUUCAGGGAGGAAAGCAAUACCGUGGGUAUCGCGCUCUUGGUUGGGCUCAUGUCCUAUCAGCUUGUUGGUGAGGUAACGGCUCACCAAGGCUUCGACGGGUAGCUGGUCUGAGAGGACGAUCAGCCACACUGGCACUGCGACACGGGCCAGACUCCUACGGGAGGCAGCAGUAAGGAAUAUUGCGCAAUGGGCGAAAGCCUGACGCAGCGACGCCGCGUGGGGGA
rnacentral:rRNA from 1 species